rnacentral:rRNA from 1 species
CCUGCCCAGCAGAACGACUCGCGAACCGUGGUUACAUCGUGCCGAGGGGCGACGGGGCCACUCGCCCCGCCGUUUCCCGGACGCAGCCCGUCGCAUGGCCUCGGGCGCCCGACGGGACUCGCAACCAACCCCGGCGCAGAACGCGCCAAGGAAAACGAAAUCGAGGAGGAUCGUCCCUGCGCUCCCGGAGACGGGGCGCGCUCGGACGUCCCGCCCAAUGUCGAACAAAACGACUCUCGGCAACGGAUAUCUCGGCUCUCGCAUCGAUGAAGAACGUAGCAAAAUGCGAUACUUGGUGUGAAUUGCAGAAUCCCGUGAACCAUCGAGUCUUUGAACGCAAGUUGCGCCCGAAGCCUUCUGGCCGAGGGCACGUCUGCCUGGGUGUCACACAACGUUGUCCCCAAACCCAUCCCGAGAGGGAAGGGAGGGACGGAAGCUGGUCUCCCGUGGCGAUCCGUCGCGGUUGGCCGAAUCCCAAGUCCGGGAGAGGGGAGCCGCGACUAACGGUGGUUGAACGACCCUCGGCUCAGGCCGUGGCCUUUUUCGCGAGGAGACGGGCUCAAGACCCGCGUCGCUUGGGCGCCUUCAAUCGCGACCCCAGGUCAGGCGGGACUACCCGCUGAGUUUAAGCAUAUCAAUAAGCGGAGGAAAAGAAACUUACCAGGAUUCCCCUAGUAACGG